rnacentral:rRNA from 1 species
GAUGAACGCUGGCGGCAUGCUUUACACAUGCAAGUCGAACGGCAGCAUGACCUAGCUUGCUAGGUUGAUGGCGAGUGGCGAACGGGUGAGUAAUGCAUCGGAACGUAUCCAAUAAUGGGGGAUAACGCAUCGAAAGGUGUGCUAAUACCGCAUACGCCCUGAGGGGGAAAGCAGGGGACCUUCGGGCCUUGCGCUAUCAGAUGAGCCUAGGUCGGAUUAGCUAGUAGGUGAGGUAAUGGCCCACCUAGGCGACGAUCCGUAACUGGUCUGAGAGGAUGAUCAGUCACACUGGAACUGAGACACGGUCCAGACUCCUACGGGAGGCAGCAGUGGGGAAUAUUGGACAAUGGGCGAAAGCCUGAUCCAGCCAUGCCGCGUGUGUGAAGAAGGUCUUCGGAUUGUAAAGCACUUUAAGUUGGGAGGAAGGGCAGUAAGUUAAUACCUUGCUGUUUUGACGUUACCGACAGAAUAAGCACCGGCUAACUCUGUGCCAGCAGCCGCAGUAA